ensembl:snoRNA
UUGGCCCUGAGUCAAGGCCAGCAGUUUGCUGAAGCUGUUGGUUUCAAGCAGGAGCCGGAAGAAAUGCCUUUCUAGGGGCACUUGGAGAGUUCAGUCGGUAGGACAUGCA